AACGAACGCUGGCGGCAUGCCUAACACAUGCAAGUCGAACGAGACCUUCGGGUCUAGUGGCGCACGCGUGCGUCACGCGUGGGAACCUGCCCUUAGGUUCGGAAUAACUCCCCGAAAGGGGUGCUAAUACCGGAUAAUGUCUUCGGACCAAAGAUUUAUCGCCUUUGGAUGGGCCCGCGUUGGUUUAGCUAGUUGGUAGGGUAAAAGCCUACCAAGGCGUCGAUCCAUAGCUGGUCAGAGAGGAUGGUUAGCCACACUGGGACUGGGACACGGCCCAGACUACUACGGGAUGCAGCAGUGCGGAAUAUUGGAAAAUGGGCGAAAGCCUGAUCGCGCAAUGCUGCGUGAGUGAUGAAGUCCUUAGAGUUGUAAAGCUCUUUUAUCCGGGAUGAUAAUGACAGUACCGGGAGAAUAAGCUCCGGCUAACUCCGUG
rnacentral:rRNA from 1 species